AUGACCGAAGGCGGGGAGGAAAACAAAUCGGCCCUAAUCCAAAAGAAAAAGAAAAAUAAAGAUAAACCCUAAGGAGAACAUAAUCCUAUCUCUCCUGGUUUUCUCCUCUACUCCAACUGCGUCUCUGUGGCAUCCUCUCUCAAUCUCACAUCUUUGAAGCUCUCUCAGACCAUUCUCUCUCACGGAGGGUCAUAAGAACGCGCACCCUGGUCACCUCCCUCACUUCGCCUUCAGCAAAACACAUAAUUGCAGCUCUCAUAUCUGUUCCUCCACCACCGCCAACAACACGGUCAAGGAAAGAGUCUGGAGCAUUUCCAAAAUUUAGCUCAAGUUCAAGAUCUUAAGGUUAGACGACAAGUCCUCAAAUUUUUGAUAGAAGACAGAGCCCUAAAAUUAGUCAGUGUCAUCACCAGGUGAGUUAUAUGCUCUUAUUUUUUAUAUGUAUCAUAUAUACUCUAUGCUAAUUUGUAUGUGUGUUGAUAAUAUAUACGAGUUUGAUUAUGCACAAGAACCCUUCCUGAUGGGACUCGAACCAUGAAUGAUGAUGAAAUAUGUGCAAAGGUCCUUGGAGUAAAAUCAGGCUACAUCAAGGGUUGUGGUUUUGGCCCUAGGCCUCCACCAUCUAGCACUUCUCGAUCGUCAAUAGAUGAAAUGUCUGAGAAGAAUAAAGAGUUAGAAGAUAAACUUGAAGAGACCCAAGAUACUAUAAAGGCUCAACAAGAAAAGAUUGAUGCACAAAACGUGCUGAUCCAAGAAUUGCAGGACAAAGGCAAAAAGUUUGAGCAGUUCAUGGCAACCUUUAUGAACCAACAAGCAUCAAGUUAAUUAUGCGUAUCUAGGAUUUAGUAUCAGUUAAACAAGUUCAUUGAUUUUUGGAUCCUUUUUAGUUCAGUAUUGACUUUAGACUAUUCCAAUUAGUAGUUAUGAUAGACAACAUUAUGAAUUAUUAUUUUGUUUAUUGUUUAACUA